GGCAACCCUCCCGCGGAGGCCGAGAGAGGCCACCGGCCCUUUGUUGAUCUGCGAGAAAUCAAACUACGAACACGACAAGCAUUAGCCUGCAGCUCGAGGAGACAAGGUGUCACAAUUACAAGGGGAAACUAGCCGCCCUAGCUCCACUGUCUCCCCAGCACGAGAGAUUUGAGAACAGAAAGGCUUCCCUCCGCAGGGCGAAACUGCUGGGCUGCCUGGAAGGGCGAGGCAGGGAGCGGAACCGUCUUCAGGAAAUUUCGGGAGUUCCGGGGUCAGGUCCACUCCCCGGCUGUUGUUGUGUUGUUGGCAGGGCAGAGGGUCUAGGAUGCCAGCCUGCUCCGGGCUGCGCUGUGCGCCUAGCCCAGGGCGGGGGGAUGCGGGGCGACACCCGCCUCCCGGUGCAUCCAGGAGUUGUAGUCUCUUCACCGGUUCCCCACUGUGGGUGGUGGGGCUGCAGGAGGACAAUUCAAAUUGAGAUAGGAGCGGAGGCGGAGCGCGGCCGUGCAGGGAGGGGCAGGGCGGUGUAGGCGGCUUCAUUUACCAAGCUUUGCUGGCCAUUGUUUCCAUGCCAAACCCUUGCCAAGGGGAUUGUCAGGAGAGGAACUUGAAGGGGAGGCGUGGGCUGGCCAGUGAGGAGGGUGUGUUUUUGCGAAGUGCGCCCCGUCUUUGCCGAAAUUAGGAGUGUCUGGUCCUCACUCACGCGGCUCUCUGCUGCUCAGGUCGAUUUUCUCUCCCACCCUCACCCAGGCUCUUUCCACAGCAUCACCCCUGCCCCAGCCCCUGGAGCCACCUGCUUUCCUAAGUGGUUUUGGAAACUGGGCUGAGGUCCCAAAGGGUGUCCACUGUGCUGUUGCUCUCCGCUCUGUCCAAGCAAAGCACAAGCUCAGCCGACUUUGAAAGACACCCACCGCCUGGCCUGGGAAUGCACAAGUUCAGAGCUUUGCAAGAAGUGAUCAUGGGCUAUGGCUUUGUGAAAAUGUCACCCUCACCAGUGCCUUUUUCGCGGACGUGGACGUGGAGGAAUGAGGGAGGGUAAUCACUGGGCUACCAAGGUACUGCUAAGAGCAGAAGAGAAAAUCCCAGUUUUCAGCCAUGUGUCUGGUUUGACAUUUCACCAACCCAUUUAAGUGUGCAGGCCCCCAAAUAUCUACCUAAAGAUUAUGAUAGUUUAGGCAUUUUACACUUGAAAUUAUUGACCUCAUAUCCACUGAAGCCUGACUGGCCAGUGUCUCAAAGACACAGAUGAUGACCUGAUCCCUCAGGAACAGCUGGUGCUCCAGCUUUGUGGAGGUGAAUUUCAAGGUAUGGAUUACUUGGGGGGUCGUUGAAACCUGUCAGGCUCAGGAACAGAUGGUGCUCCAGCUUUGUGGAGAUGAAUUUCAAGGAAUAAAUCCAACUUGAUCAUAACAUCCAACUGUGUUGCCCAGGCUAGUCUCAAACUCCUGGAUUCAAGAGCCCCUCUCCUCUCAGCCUACGAAAGUGCUGGGAUUAAAGUCCUGAACUGACAGCCACAAGUGGCACCUGAACAGGGACUUGAACAAAGAAGGUCUGCUGGAGCAGAAAAAGUGAAACUGACCAGAUGAAUGAGAAACCCUGGGAUGAGUCUGCCUGCAGAGGAUAUAAGGAGAUGGAUAAACCGUGUGAGUGCCCUCAAGUUGUGUGCGACCAUGGAAUGGGAGACUGGAGGGAUACAUGGAUCCCAACUACAGGCCCAGCUCCUCCAGUAUGAGCCAUGAGCCAGUUGAAUCUGAAUGUGAAGAUGGAAUGAAGACCGACGAGAGUCACACUGACGUCAACCCUCAUAACAUGGGGUCAGAUCAAGAAAACCACACCAGAAGCUGAGAAACUGGUGUAGUGCCAGGGUCAGGCAAAAACCCCUGACUCCAUGUUUAUGGCCAUGCUAGCUGUAAUAUCCUGUGCAGUAUGAUUUUUCUGUGCAGAAGCAAAAACAUAUUGGGCAUAUUUUCCUAACCCACCGGUAGUGUGAUCAUACUCUGAAGCAGCACUCCUCCUGAGAUAUAUCAUGAUCAAGGAGCAUCAGUACCAGGACCUCUAACUCCCCCUGACACAGAGCAAUUAGACUCUCAUAACAAUGGUAUCAAUUAUACCACUCCAUUGGAGGGACUUCCUUUAUGUGUCACCCAGGAUACAUUGCUCAACUGCAGUUGCCUUGCAGUUUGAUCCCAAGCAUGGUUGAGUUACCAUUAAAAAAUUAUGUACCUAUUAGACCUUAGCUUUAUUAAUAUUACUUGUGUAGUUACUAAUCACUCCUGGCCCCAUCACCCAAAUUGUACUGAUUAUACAGAAUGGGCUCCCUUUGAUAAUUCUCACCCCCCUCCUUGGGCCCACUGUCUUGGCCCCUUAGCUAGACAAUAGUCCAUGUUAAUGGGAGACAUUAUUGACUGGGGUCCCUGUGGUCAUUAAGAUGGGAGAGAUGAGAAUCAGACCACAUGGCAUAAACUUCACUGGCACUGGUGGCGAAACUUUAACAUCUCUUCACUUCAACACACUGGGAUUCAAUCCCAAUCUGCCAUGCAACUUGCUUGGCAUGGAACGGGCUUUAGCCCACCUUUGCCUCAAUGGCAUUAUCAAGGAAAGAGAGGUCCAAUUCAGGAGUCUAUGUGGAAGGCAGCACUCCCAUAUAUGAAUGGCAGCAUUUGGGUUGGGACACUAUCCAAUAAUAGUAAUAGUGCUCAAUACAGUUUAAUGUUACCUUUGUAAAAAAUGUUUGAAAUUUGUGUUUUUAAUCCCUAUGUUUUUCUAGCAGCAAAAAAGGACCAACUCCAGGUAAACAAUGCCCAAUUGAAUUGUGAUUCCUGUCAACUCUAUCAUUGCCUUAAUCAUAGCACAAUACAAACACACAGCAUAUCCACCCUAAUAAUUCUAGGUCGCAUUCCUGGAUUAUGGAUUCCUGUAAAUCUAUCUGAGCCUUGGGCAGCCACCCCCACUUUACAUUUUGUAAAACUUCUUACUCAGCUUACUCAUGGCACUCGUAGAGCCUUAGGCAUGAUAAUUUUUACUAUAGUCUCCUUAAUUACAUUAAUACCCUCUGUUGUGGUGUCCUCAGUAGCACUGGACAGCUCCACUCAAACAGCUCAAUAUGCAGAAAAUUGGAUGCAUACAGCUGACCAGGCAUGGAUGUUUCAAAAUAAAACUAACACUGAGAUACAAACAGAAGUGGCAAUGUUAAAGACUACUGUUCUGUGGCUAG
rnacentral:lncRNA from 1 species